GCAUUGCUGAAGAGUCCCACAAUAGGACGAAACGGCCGUCAAGUAC
rnacentral:hammerhead_ribozyme from 1 species